GGGUCGAGUAUGGUUAGCGUUUUCACUCAGAAGAUCCUCUUAAAUCUGUCCCUUCUUUUCUACCUUAAUUAAGAAUUCUACACUGAUGACAGAAGAUGAAGAAUAUUCUCCCCUUCUGGGGAGGGACAAAGAUAAACUAGAUAAUUUGUGGUCGGAAUAAGGUAAAGGGUAUGGUCUCAAAUUAAGAAAUGUGAUGGUUGAAGCCGGUAGAAGGAGAAGAUUAGCUGAGCAACUUGGCAAGUCCUUCUCAGGGUUUCCAGAAACUGGCUGGAGAUGUAGCAGGGACGCAUCCAAGCCAUGACAACUAUAUGCCUAGCAUACUUGUUGAAGUCUCUAGAUCCUGUGACUUUCUGGUGGAAAAGUCCAGAAACUCUCAAGAAGGUACCUCUAUGAUGUGGGGGCAGCAGCUAAAAGGUGAAAAAGAAAAAGUCAGACAGAAGAAUUGCUGGAUCGAGGCCAUCAAGCUACAGAUGGUCUUACAAAUGGAACCCCAAAUGAACUCAACUAACAACUUCUACCAAGUACCCCUGGACCAAUGGGCUGGCCCUUUCACUGGCCUAAAGAAUUCCCCUCUGGAGGACACUACAACUGCAGGGGCCCUUAUUCACCACUAUCCAGCAGGAAGUAGCUAAAGCGGUCAUCGCCCAAUUCCCGACAACAGUUGGGGUGUCCUGUUUAGAUGGGAGAUUGAGAGGUGAAGCCAGUUGGACUUCCUGGGUUGAGUGGGGACUUGCAGAACUUUUAUGUCUAGCUAGAGGAUUGUAAAUGCACCAAUCAGCACUCUGUAAAAACGCACCAAUCAGCACUCUGUGUCUAGCUAAAGGUUUGUAAACACACCAGUCGGCACUCUGUAAAAAUGAACCAAUCAGCACUCUGUAAAAUGGACCAAUCAGCAGGAUGUAGCGGGGCCAAAUAAGGGAAUAAAAGCUGGCCACCUGAGCCAGCAGCAGCAACCCACUUGGGUCCCCUUCCACACUGUGGAAACUUCGUUCCUUCACUCUUCACAAUAAAUCUUGCUGCUGCUCACUCUUUGGGUCUGCACUACCUUUAUGAGCUGUAACACUCACUGUGAAGGUUUGCGGCUUCACUCCUGAAGUCAGCGAGACCACAAACCCACUGGGAGGAACAAACAACUCUGGAUGCGCCACCUUUAAGAACUGUAACAUUCACUGCGAGUGUCCGUGGCUUCAUUCUUGAAGUCAGCAAGACCAAGAACCCACCGGAAGGAAUACAUUCCAGACACAAUAGCACUAAUGAGCUAAUCAUAUUAUUUUCUACUUAUGGUAGUGGGAACUGACAUAAUAUAUUUACAUAUUCAGAAUCACAGUUGCUCUUGCAGUAUGAACACAAGAUAUUUACAUUGCAUUAAAAUAUAUAUUAUCACAUUUUGUUUGCUAACAUUUUAUUGACUCUGUUUUUGCACCCAUACUCAUAGGUGAAAUGUCAUGUAUAUAGAAUUUAUUUUCCAUGCUAAUCUUGUCUAAAUCAAACAUAUAUUAGCUUUAUAAAACAAGGGAAUAUUUGGCAUUCUAUUCUCUGCAAACGUUCAAAUUUUUAGAAUGGAACAAUAGGGACAAUAAAGAGUAAUAGAUUUAGAAAUGCAUACUUGAAAUAAAAGGAAUUUAUUGAGUUAAUGACUUAAGCCCCCAACACAAGAAUACUUUGUAAAGACUAAUAUUUUAAUUCCAAAGAAAACCCAAGAAAGAAAUUACCAAGAAAUAAGAAUAUAAACAGAUUUCAAUAAACUAGAACUCUAAGAAACAAUAUUUAAGUGUAAUAAAAUGAAACACAUGUUCUUUGAAAAGUCUCAGUAAAUAGAUACAUCCUAAGAGCAUUGAAAAUAUGAUAAAAAAAGGAGUGAGACAUAAGUAGUCACAGAAAUGAACAGUAAAACAUAAUUAUACCUACAAUAAAACUGAAGUAAUAAGAAAGUUUUCAGGAAGUUCUGUGAAAAUAAAUUUGAAAACUGGGUGAAAUCCAGAACUUCUUUGACAAAAAUAUAGCCUUAAACUCAUUCAGAAGAUUUUGAAAGCACAAAUGGUUCUACCAUUAUUAAAGACAUGGAAUCACACAGAUAUGCCUCCACACACAAACAUAGAGACAAACACACACACAAAAUUUAUACAGUUGUUUAAGGUUUAUACUGCUUAUUUUUGUUUCUGCUAAUGUUGACAUAUAUUUUGUUUCAUUGCAUGUUUUAAUUUUUGUAUUAUGAACUUAUUAUUUUUCACUGGAUGUUUUCUGUGCAAACUAGCUGGAGAGUUUCUUCUUCAGACCAAUAUUGUAUUUGCUUUGUCAGAUGCAUCAGAGAUAAGUCCUAAAGCAAUUCUUGUUAGGGUUUCCUGAACUUUGAGAAUGGCAUACAGCUGACCUGGAAAACUAGGUGAGGCCAGGUGCCUGUGUAAACAUUUUUAGAAAGGACCUCUGUAUUUUAAGUUGCAGAAUCAAAUUAUAAAUAGGCAAUAAA
rnacentral:lncRNA from 1 species